rnacentral:lncRNA from 1 species
UUACUCGUUUGCCAUUAGGAACCUCAAAACAAACAAUAGCAAAGUAGAAGAUGUAGAACAAUGCAGCAACAGAAAACAUUUUUUUUGCUUGCUGAGACGUCCACUUACCACUCAGCUAUACCCAGUCAAAUAGAUGCAAUGCAACCGACAUGUCAUAAACAUUGGGCAAAAUCAUGCACAGAACUGAGGAAAAACAAAUCAAACAGCUAAUUUAAC